GAAAACAGUGUCUUUGAGAGCAGGAUCUUCCUUGAAAACAGAAUGUGAUUGCUGUGCCCUGCCAAAGGGUACCUCAGAGCAUGCUGGAAGAGAAUAAGGCCUGGACUUAAGAAAAGAAGAAAAGGGGAGAAGAGAAGAGCUUUCCGAGAACCCAUCAGGAUCGCUUUUUCCGCUCAAUUCUCCAGACCAGGACUUUUUC